rnacentral:lncRNA from 1 species
CUCCUUAUUUUUUUUCUUAGGAGCUGCCUUUUCUUUUGGCUCCGGCUUUUUCUUAGAUAUUUUUGUAUUUUUAAUAAGUUGAGGCUGGAUCUCAACCUGCCUGAUGCCUUGGGGGUUUGGCCCAUAGAGGAUGCGUGUCAUGUUGCACUCUUAUUGACGGCGUGGCCUGAAAUCGAACUUCUCUUCUUGGCCAUUAAUGUUGAAGCGGAUUUCUCCAGCCCCAACAUCAAUCUGUGCUCCAGCCGUACUCAAGAAUAGUCUUCCUAGGAUUAGUGGUGUUUCUUUAGUGAGCUCCAUGUUGAGCACCACAAAAUCCACUGGAACAUAGUAUCCUCUGAUCUUGAUAGGGAUGUCUUGAGCAAUCCCUGCCGGGUACUGGACUGACGAGUCUGCCAACUCGAGUGUCAUGGUGGUUGGCUCCAAGUUGGUGAAGUUCAGCCUGUCAAAGACUGAUUUCGGCAUGACGCUCACACUCGCCCCCAAAUCACAUAGGGUGUGGUCGAAUUGCUGGGCCCCAAUUGAGCAAGAGAUUGUGGGGCACCCAGGAUCCUGCUUCUGCUCGGGCAGCUCAUUGAGUAUAGCUGCGCUACAUUCUUCUAUUAGCUU